rnacentral:lncRNA from 1 species
GGGGGAAUAAAUAGAAGGCAUUGCUAACACUUCCCUGCUGGACUUAUGCAAUAUGUGAGUUCAUGAAUUUUUCAUUAAUAUUGGAGUUCCAAAAAAAAGGGUUUCAUGGAAUUUUGACUUCUAAGCAGGCCACCAUGACAGAAGAAGACAACUGUUAAAGGUCAACAUUCUUGUCAGCAGGGCAAGUCCAUGACUCCUGCUUCCUUAAUUCUGUGUCCCCUCAAGGAACUCCAGAUGCAUCAGAGGCACGCAUUCGUAAGACAAGGAGGGAACAGACACGGAGAUGAACGUACGGACACACAGACGAGUGUAUGCUGGUGCUGUGUCUGCACAAAGGACUGAUGGUGUGACGGUUUGUGUAGACUCACCCCAGGGAGUGGCAGUGUUGGAAGGUGUGACCCUGUUGGAGUAGGUCCUAGCUGCCUGGAAGCCAGUGUUCUGCUAACAGCCUUCAGAUGAAGAUGUAGAGCUCUCAGCUCCUCCUGCACCACGCCUGCCUGGACGAUGCCACAUUCCUGCCUUGAUGAUAAUGGACUGAACCUCUGAACCUGUAAACCAGACCCAAUUAAAAGUUGUCCUUAUAAGAGUCGUCUUGGUCAUGGUGUCUGCCUAUAGCAGUAAAAUCCUAAGAGAGACGGUAUCUAAAAAGUACUCAGUUUAUUAACCAUUUCCCACCAGGUGCUUGGCAAGGUCCUCGGCUACAUGAAGGAUUAGAGGAGUGAUGUAACUACCCUAUUUAGUGCAGUGGAAUGUUGGGAGCCCUGCCAUUGCUUCUAAUUCUAACCCCAAUUUCUAUUUCUAGGACAAACCUCUUUUCCAAUAGAUAGCGGAGAGCUCAUCCCUACUCCUAAGGAAGGCGUUUCAGUCUUGUUCUGUUCGAGAUGCACAGGAAUACACUUCAGGGAUUUGUG